rnacentral:rRNA from 1 species
UCCUACGGGAGGCAGCAGUGGGGAAUUUUGGACAAUGGGGGCAACCCUGAUCCAGCCAUUCCGCGUGAGUGAAGAAGGCCUUCGGGUUGUAAAGCUCUUUCGGCAGGAACGAAACGGUCGUCUCUAACAUAGAUGGCUAAUGACGGUACCUGAAGAAGAAGCACCGGCUAACUACGUGCCAGCAGCCGCGGUAAUAA